rnacentral:rRNA from 1 species
GAGUUUGAUCUUGGCUCAGAUUGAACGCUGGCGGCAUGCCUUACACAUGCAAGUCGAACGGUAACAGGUCUUCGGAUGCUGACGAGUGGCGAACGGGUGAGUAAUACAUCGGAACGUGCCCGAUCGUGGGGGGAUAACGGAGCGAAAGCUUUGCUAGUACCGCAUACGAUCUACGGAUGAAAGCAGGGGACCGCAAGGCCUUGCGCGGACGGAGCGGCCGAUGGCAGAUUAGGUAGUUGGCGGGAUAAAAGCUUACCAAGCCGACGAUCUGUAGCUGGUCUGAGAGGACGACCAGCCACACUGGGACUGAGACACGGCCCAGACUCCUACGGGAGGCAGCAGUGGGGAAUUUUGGACAAUGGGCGAAAGCCUGAUCCAGCCAUGCCGCGUGCAGGAUG